CAGCCGCGGUAAUUCCAGCUCCAAUAGCGUAUAUUAAAGUUGUUGCAGUUAAAAAGCUCGUAGUUGAAUUUCGGGGUCAGUAGGUUGGUCGUGCCACCGGUACGUACUGGUCUCACUGAUUCCUCCUUCCUGAAGAACCGUAGUGCCAUUAAUUUGGUGUUGCGGGGAAACAGGACUGUUACCUUGAAAAAAUUAGAGUGUUUAAAGCAAGCUAACGCUUGAAUACAUUAGCAUGGGAAUAAUGAAAUAGGACGAUCGAUCCUAUUUUUGUUGGUUUCUAGGAUUGACGUAAUGAUUAAUAGGGAUAGUUGGGGGCAUUAGUAUUCAAUUGUCAGAGGUGAAAUUCUUGGAUUUAUUGAAGACUAACUAAACUGCGAAAGCAUUUGCCAAGGAUGUUUUCAUUAAUCAAGAACGAAAGUUAGGGGAUCGAAGACGAUCAGAUACCGUCGUAGUCUUAACCAUAAACUAUGCCGACUAGGGAUCGGAUGAUGUUAAUUUUAUAAUGACUCAUUUGGCACCUUACGGGAAAC
rnacentral:rRNA from 1 species